GACGAACGCUGGCGGCGUGCUUAACACAUGCAAGUCGAACGAAGUGGCGAACGGGUGAGUAACGCGUAAUCAACCUGCCCUUCAGAGGGGGACAACAGUUGGAAACGACUGCUAAUACCGCAUCCUGCAGGAGGGGAGUGCGUCUGAUUGGAUAGUUGGAGGGGUAACGGCCCACCAAGGAGAUGAUCAGUAGCCGGUCUGAAGUGAUGAACGGCGAAAUUGGGACUGAGACACGGCCCAGACUCCUACGGGAGGAAGCAGUGGGGAAUCGUCCGAAAUGGACGAAAGUCUGACGGAGCAACGCCGCGUGAGUGAUGACGGCCUUCGGGUUGUAAAGCUCUGUUAAUCGGGACGCGGUACCGGAAUAGAAAGCCACGGCUAACUACGUGCCAGCAGCCGCGGUAAUUC
rnacentral:rRNA from 1 species